CAUCUGCUGAUGGACAUUUAGGUUGCUUCCAUGUCUUGGCUGUUGUGAAUAUUGCUGCUGUGAACAUAUGGGUGCAUGCGUCUUUCUCUGUCUGACUUUCUCUGGCAGCAGAGAGGAGCCUGUGAUUUGGGGGGGCGGCAAUUAGCCUCAGGCUUCAGGUUGCCAGUGUAACUACAUGUGUUGUGGGCAAUACUUUAAGAGGAGAGAAAGGCUCUGGAUAAUCUGGCAGGUGGCGUCUGAGUCUGGCAGGUGCAGGAAUCCAUGGCUGGGGCAGGAGCUGGGUAGGGAUCUCUUGUGGGAAAGGAACAUCAAAAUGGGGUCAGUAUUGCCAAGAGAGCUUGUUAAAGUGGAGCUUGGAGGCCCUUAAGGGAGUGCAACUUGGGCUUGUUUCAGCCUGGAUGGACUCUUACCUUUUGACCUGAUGAAGUUAUGCAGAACACCUGCCAGAAACGUACCCUACCCUAACUCCUGACAGUCCAUCCACUUAUAGAACCCCCUACCCUAAAACAACUUGUGAUUUCCUUAAGGACAAAUAUCUUCUGGUUCAUGUCAGAAUCAAAUCACAGUUCUCACCAGGCAACUUAUAACAACCCUGUGGCUUUUUGUCUUUGUCAGCCCUGACUCUUUCUUAUAUCUGUCUCCCCAAUAGCAAUUCUUAAGAAUCCAAGUAAACUCAUUUCAGGCACCUGCAUUUUUAUUAUUAUUAUUUUGGUUGACACUCAGGACCCUCCCACACAAGAGCACCUGCAUUUCUUGGGAAGGAGUGCAGGGCCAGCUCUCAGAGACUUGCUAACCUGGAUUUGGACCUGAUAUUGAUAUUGAGGGCCCCUCAGGCCUCCCUUAAAACCAGUUGGAGGCAGGUUGGUAGGAGAUGCAGUUUUGCCACCACAAGAUUUUUCCUGCAUCUAUUUCUCCUAUAGAGAGUUGACAUGUUGCUGAGUCUUUUUUUAAUUAAUUUUUUUCUUUUCCGUUAUGGUUUACUACAGGAUAUCAAAUAUAGUUCCCUGUGCUAUUCAGUAGGAUCCUAUUCUCUAUUCAUCUUAUACAUAAUAGUUUGCAUCUGCUAAUCCCAAAUGUCACUCUCCUGCCCCCACCCCGGCAACCACAAGUCUAUUUUCCAUGUGAGUCCAUUUCUGUUUUGUAGAUAAGUUCAUUUGUGUCAUAUUUUAGAUUCCAUGUAUAAGGGAUAUCAUCUGAUAUUUAUUUUUCUCUUUCUGGCUUAACUUAGCAUGAUAAUCUCUAAGUCUAUCCAUGUUGCUACAAAUGGCAUGAUUUCAUUCUUUUUUCUGGCUGAAUAAUAUUCCAUUGUGUACGUAUACCACAUUUUCUUUAUCCUUUCAUCUGUCCAUGGACAUUUAGGUUGUUUCCAUGUCUUGGCUAUUAUAAAUAGUGCUGCUAUGAACAUAAAGGGGCAUAUAUCUUUGGAAUUCUAGUUUUAUCCUGAUUUAUGCCCAGGAGUGGGAUUGCUAGAUCACAUAGCUGCCAAGUCUUGGUUAUUAUCCUGGACUUGGGAAUUCAGGGGGUGGAUUCAUCAAUGAAUAGAUAAAGGAGAGAGAAAAAAAUUCCUAAUACAUAGAGGGUAUAUCAGCUUUCUGGAUGGAAGUUGAGGGGAAAACUUAAUGUAAUUGGCACAAGUCAUAAGGCCAAGAAAUUCAACUCAAAUGAAAAGUUCAGUCCCUUGAACACGGAUUCUAGGAAACCUGUUGUUCAUUAGCUGGAGGAGAAGCACAAUUGCAGCCAGUAAAACAUCUUCAGGAAUGUAUGUCAGAUGGAAAAUGUUGGGAAUAGAUGAGUUGGUUCUUGACAAUAAGGAAGUGACCUAGAAGGAUGUUUGUGCAGAGUAGGGAUAACCAAUGCCACAGGGCUGGGGAAAGUUUAAUUUCAGGAAGCAGUAUUUAGAAAAAAGAAAUCAAAUGGUUCUCUGGCAUCCAGAUGAAAGUACCAGUUUCACCAUCAGCACUUGAGGAGGACUAUGCUGCUAUAGAAAUAAGUGAGGGGACGGAGUCAGAAGCAGGUGGUUUAACUUACUGGUGGUAAAAGAUAAACAAAGGCACAUUAAACAUUUUAAGAGUUUGAGAAGUUCCUGUCAUGGCUCAGUGGUUAACAAAUCCGACUAGGAACCAUGAGGUUGUGGGUUUGAUCCCUGGCCUUAUUCAGUGGGUUAAGGAUCCGGUGUUGCCGUGAGCUGUGGUGUAGGUCACAGACAUGGCUCAGAUCCCAGGUUGCUGUGGCUCUGGUGUAGGCCGGUGACUACUGCUCCGAUUAGACCCCUAGCCUGGGAACCUCCAUAUGCCACAGGAGUGGCCCAAGAAAUGGCAAAAAGAUUUAAAAAAAAAAAAAAAAGAGUUUAUUUGAGCAAAACAUGGUUCCAGUUGAGCUGCACCAAACCAGAAAUGGUUAGGAACACGCCAUCAACAGGAGCUGGGGAGAGACUUUUAUAUAGAAAGGACUCAGAAGCACAGUAAGGAAAUUGACUGUAGCUUAAAGCCCAGUUGGCUGCUUGUGAUUGGUUGUCCUUAGGUUUUGAUUUCAUAACCUCGAGGCAUUUAUGAAAGUAGGUUUUGGUUUGCUACCAAAGGCCACCCAGGGCAGGAGAGCCACCUCAGUCAAAUGGGCCUCCUUGUUUAAUGAACUUAACAGAUGUUAAGUGUUUAGAGCACGGUUCUGAAGUGUGGCUGCCUGAGUUUGGGUCUCCUUUUGCGAUUUGCUGUGUCACCUUGAACAAGGUAUAUAACCGUGUCGGGAUUAUGGGCCUUAAAUUUGGGGUACCACACUCACAAGUUGGGCUGCAGAGAUCUUAAAUGAAUAGGACAGUCACCCCAAAGGAGAAGGAUCCCUGUAGGAAGGACCUGAGCCUGGAGGUACCACCACAGAAUAGUCCUAAUUUUUCCAGAAGCUGAAAAAACUUUCAAAUGCCUCUCUCAAAAUGCAAGAAAACCAAGUAAAAAAAAAUUGUUUUUCCGUAUAAUAUAUAAGAUCAAAAAAGAGACUGGACGUAAAGUAUUAGGUAGUGGUCAUGGCAAUGCUUCUGGGAGGCAGGUGGUGGGUAGGUGUGACAUUCAGAGGGAGAACUUGACUUUAGCUCUCUAAGGAGGGUAGGAAUUGGCCUCUUAGGGCCCUUCCCCCUACCAUAUCCACCAACUUCCUCCAUCAACCACUGUGGGGGAGACGCCUUCCUGUAUACACAGGUGCUAACAGAGCCGUAGUUGAUGGGAGAGCAGGGGACCAUGGCAGAAGCCCUUUCCCAGCCAGUGGCUUAGUUGGUGUCUGUUGUUGCAGCAGGAGGGCUGGAGGUGGCUAUGAAGGAGCCUGAAGGCUUAAUAAGAGAGCCAGGAUGGAGCCACAGGCAGGAUGCAGUAUUCCCCAGGAGUAGACCUGAAAUCCAGAUGCCUGGGAAGUUCUGGACUUGGAAAAUGGCUGGGGAUUUUGAUAUUUCCCUCCCUUCUGCCUGGGGAGUUCUACUGCAGGAUUAAUUUCCUACCCAAAAGCAGCAACAGAGUCCUCUUACCCAGCUGAGACACAGGGAGGAUGGGGACAGAAGCUUCUCUCUCGGUCCACAGCCCCCUCAGUCUAGUCCUGCCGGGGGUGGAGAAAGUGGGGGUGAUACCAUCAAAUAGUGAUUAUCAUAGGAGAGUUGUGAUGCCCAUGGAAUCUUCCUUCUUUUCCCCCAAAUGAUGUAUAUAAUCCACAAUUGAAAAGGAAAAGCACAAAGGACUCCCCACAUUUUAAGAAAGGAUAGGUCUGUAGGCCAGCCGUAGUCCUGAGAGCUGUGGUUCCCAAAGUGUGUUCCCCACGCCAGCAGCAUCAGCAUCAGCAUCAGAAUCAGCAUCAGCAUCAGCAUCAGCAUCAGCAUCCCCUAGGAUCCUGUUAGAAAUGCGCAUUCUUGCCCCGCCCCUUCACAAGUGCUGAAUGGGACACUGUGGGGGCAGGACCAGCCAUCAGUGGUUUUAACAAGCCCUCUGGGUGACUCUGAUGCCCAUCAACAUUUGAGAAGCACACCCUGGAGCUGGCUGAGAGACAGAUGCCGUUUUGUCAGAAUGGGCACAACCCUUUGUCUUCAGUGACUUAAGGCUGGCAGGACACUGCCCUUGGGCACUAACAAAGGCAACAUUCCCAGGGUGAACCCAUCCCCCCUUAAAGUGCCUGCCUGAGAAAUUGCACCCAUGCCAAAACAAUUUACUUUUUCAUUCUAGCCAACACCUGCAGGAAGAUAGGUAGGGUCCUUGUCUCCUAGUCUCUGUGGGAGGGUAGGAACUGAACUCUGCUAAGACAGGUUCAUAUGGACCAACCCUACCCUUUCUUUCUGUAAUUUUUCAUUUCCCUGACUUCUGAGCUCCUGCUUGCCCUCCUCCCUACUCCCCCUUUCUCCCUUGAGAUCACCCACUCACCUCUGGACACACAAGUGUCCACUUCCCUAUUGCAGUGGCAUACUAGUGAUGCAAAUCUGUGCUUUCCACUUUAACCAGUAUUCUGCUUUGUUGGUCUUUGAUGGGACCGUCAAUAUUUGUGUAGCGGCCAUUCCCUCUUCCCCUGUUCACAGAAAGGUGAGAGGCAGAGAGGCCAUGGAAUGUGUUUUGUUUUGUUUAAGUUGCUAACAUCUGCAAGAAAAGGGCCAGGCCACAUAUUAUUCCCCAACUGGAUGGCUGCUGGGCAUGCAGUCUUGCCUGGUGAGAUGGAGAGACUUCAGUGGGAAAGUGACCAUAUAGGACAGCCCGGAAGGUGGGGUGUAAGGGUGAUCACAACACAUAAGGGCAGAAAAUACCCUACACUCCUACUCUUGUCCACAGGCUCAAGUUGGGCCAGCAGAAGUAGAUGAGGCUGGAACAGAGGGGAAGGAGAGGUGGACUUCCAAUGCAAUUGUGGGGGGCUGGUGGGGGUGGGGAGCGGCUAGCAUAACCAUUCUCACAAGGGACCCCCAGGUUAAGGGAGCUGUUGCCGUGGUUUUCAUCAGCAGAAGCCGCUAGGGGCCACCGCCUUUUCACCCCAAACCCGCAGACCCUAAUCUGCAGGUCAGUGAAAACGAUGUCAAGGGAAAAGAGACCAAAACUACACCACAGCCAUUCACACAAAGGGUCUUCGGUGCCCGUGUCCCUUUACUCUAAAGCCAAGAGGCUGUGUGCAUAGAAAGGGGAGGGGCGGGUGAGCAAGAAGGCCAUGCCCCCCACCCCCCCCAAUCUUACAGGUGAAAAUCAAGGCUUUGCUUGGGGGUGGGGAGGUUGGUGGGAUCUGACUUGACUAUGAAAUAGACAUUUGAAUUGUUUCAAGUCUUUACAACUGGAGUGAAAGCUUUAAUGAUGGAAGGCACCUGGAACGUUCAGGAAUCAGGCUGGGCUUCCACGGGGGAGCCUGCCCCCUAGCCGGCAGGGUGGAUUAGAAUUGACAGCUACUCAGAAGGAUUUCCCCCCACCCCCCCCGGGGCUCUUAUGGCCUCAUUUUACAACUGGGGAAUCUGUGGCUCUGAGGGUUAAGUAACUCAGAUCAGGUCACAACUACCAGUGGCAGUGCUGAGACUGGAGCCCAGAUACACCAGCCGCCAAGCCCUGGAAGAUGGAAGCCUGUCUCGCAGCAGCCCCUGUCUGUGUUGAGAGGAAACGUUGUUCACAGCCCCGGGCUUACAGAAAUCACCCGACAGGAACUGGCCAGAGCAGAGGUUCCCAGUCUGUAUCCCAGGGAAGGCAAACAGACCACAGGUAUGGCACACAACAUUAAUCCACCAGUAAGGAGGAGGCUCGAGGGACUGUGGGCUUCAGGACCAGUAGCAUCUCCUGCAGCUCUUUGGGUGGUAGCCUGAACUGAUGAAGUUUGGCUUCCUCUCCGCCAUCCUGUGUCGACCACUGACGACUGCAGAGACGUACCCAUGGAGAUGCAGAAGGAAACACUGCCUAGGCACUCCAGAAAUUCAACCCCAAGUGAUCUGAAAGUGCCAAAAUGAGGGGAUGGUCUUAAUCUACAGAGUUCCAAAGCAACCAGAAGAUCCUCUCAAGUCAUCCAAAAAACAGCUCAUUGAGGAUGAAAUGCUUUUGUUUCAAUGACCUGCUCUGAUAAGUCUGCUGAAUGUCCAGCUUUGUGACCACCAACCCAACCACACAAAUAGCUUCACAAGAGCAGAAGGUGGUUAAUACUUACAUGGAAGAAAGGCUUGAUCAUUUUGCAAGGCCCACACCACGUGGCUGAGAAAUCGACCACUACGAGUUUCUCUCCUGCACUGUUCAAGGCUUCCUGAAAAGCGUACUAAGAAGGGAAAGGAGAAAAAAGCAUGUGUUAAAUUUAUUUCCAAAAGCCUUGAUAAAAUGUGACACAACACACAAUUUGGAGGUCCUGCUUUCAGAGCUUAUUUUUUAAUUAAAAAGUGAUAACAAAGAAAAUAAACUGUUUCGAAAAAAU